UACGUAGGUGGCAAGCGUUGUCCGGAUUUACUGGGCGUAAAGCGUAUGCAGGCGGGAUCUUAAGUAGGAAGUGAAAGGUUGGAGCUUAACUCUAACACUGCUCCCUAUACUGGGAUUCUUGAGUGCCGGAGAGGAAGACGGAACGACACGUGUAGCGGUGAAAUGCGUUGAGAUGUGUCGGAACACCAAUGGCGAAAGCAGUCUUCUGGACGGAUACUGACGCUGAGAUACGAAAGCCAAGGUAGCAAAACAGG
rnacentral:rRNA from 1 species